AUCUUAACACAUUUCAACUGAAAUCUGUUUUGUUGUGAGAUCGUCAGGUAGUAUACAGUGAUUUUCAUUGAACAUGCAACAGUGUAGUUCCUUAACAAUUAUGCAUAUAUUACUGUAGGUGGAUGGAAAUUAUCCAACCAUUAUGUAGAAGUGUAGAAAUGGUUGAAUAUAAUAAUAAACUACAUGUAUCAAUCUGACUCCAAUAUCUGCGUCUCUAGGAUCUAGUCAAGGUAGCGAGCCUUGCGUCACCGCUUAGUAGGCUAUGACUUUAAUUAACAUUUCACCGUUAUGCAAUUAUUCAGACGCCAGAUAAUUGGGGCAGGUAGCCUAGUGGUUAGAACGUUGUGCCAUAUAAAUCGAAUCCCCGAGCUGACAAGGUAAAGAUCUGUCGUUCUGUCCCUGACAAGGCAGUUAUUUUAAAUAAGAAUGUAUUCGUAACUGAUUUGCCUAGUUAAAUACAUCUGGAAGAGCUACCAUAAUGCAAUUUCUCAAUUCAACUAAUAGUAUUACAUUAUACAUUACAUACUACUCAGAGUAAGACUACAUUUAAAUGAUAGAAGCGCUCCUCCUGUGUCGCUCCUCUUUGAACAAUCUUCAGUCUGACGAACAAAACAAAAGUUCCGCUGUAACUAAAUCAAUAGCACUUACAGUACAAUUAAAACGUUUAAAAUGCGUAGCUCUUUAUGAACUCAUGAAACAAUCCAAACAUAACAAUUUAAUUCACACAGUAACAGAUUUCACGAUUUCCACUGCAUAUUGGGAGCUAAACAAAUUCACAAAAAAUCUUCACAUAUCUCCAAAAGGGCCAGUUUGACGAGAAUGUUCACUCUGACAGUGACGGGCGACUUGUGCCCUCUGCUGGCCAGAACUGGUAGCUAAAUCUGAGUUCAUAAACAGAAUCAGGAAGCCACCGUUGACAGAACACAAGCCACUCCUACUCCUUUGAAGAAACAUUUGAAGGAAAACGAAACAUAAAGCUAUCUGGUACUCUUGCUGUUUGUUGGUGUGUGUUUGAAAAUGACAGAGGCUAUGGAUUCGAUCAGUUGUUCUAUCUGUCUGGAUCUACUGAAGAAUCCAGCGACUAUUGCUUGUGGACACAGCUACUGUAUGGGCUGCAUUAACGGCUGCUUCGACCAGGAUGAUUCGAAGGUGGUCUACAGCUGCCCCCAGUGUAAGGAAAGCUUAAUCUCCAGGCCCGUUCUGUGGAAAAAAAACACUCUUCUGGCUGAAUUGGUGGAGAAACUGAAGACGACAGAAUAACUCCAAACUUCUCCUCCUGCUCACUAUUAUGUUGGACCUGGAGAUGUGGAGUGUGAUUUCGGCAUUGGGAGAGUGUGUCUGGCCUCUUACUGUGAGACUCACCUCCAGCGUCACUGUGAAGUAGCUCCCUUAAAGAAACACAAGCUGGUCAAAGCCUCCACACAACUACAGUAGAAGAUCUGUUCUCGUCAUGACAAAAUACUGGAGGUUUACUGCCGUACCGUUCAGCAGUGUAGCUGUUGUUUUUGUAUGAUGGAUGAACAUAAAGGCCAUGAUACAGUGUCAGCUGCAGCAGAGAGGACUUAGAAACAGAAACAGUUCUGGGAGAACAUCAAGAAUCCCAGAAUAAAAUCCAGGAUAGAGAGAAGGAGAUACAGGUUGCGAACUCUCUGAAGCAGUGGAGGACAGUGAGAGGAGAGAAGACGCUCUGAGGUAAAGGAGUUGAUCAGAGCCCAGGAGAAGGCUGAAGUGAGUCGGGCUUAAGGACUCCUGGAGCAGGAGGUCGCUGAGCUGAGGAGAGAUGCUGAGCUGAGGAGAGAUGCUGAGCUGAGGAGAGAUGCUGAGCUGAGAAGAGAUGCUGAGCUGAAGUAGCUCUCACACACAGACAUCCAUUUCCUCCAGAGUUUCCAGUUUCUCUGUGUCUCUCCUGGAUCUCAGGCCUUAUCUCCUUUAAGCAUUUGAAGGCAUCAGUCUCUGAACUGAAAGAUCGACAACAAGACAUAUGCAAGGAGGAAAUGGACAAGAUAUCUGAUGACGUGAUUCAAGUUCAGAUUGACCACCCUGCUGAGCCCAAGACUAGAGAGGAGUUCUUAAAAUACUCCUGCCAGCUGACGUUGGAUCCCAAUACAGCACAACAGUACAUGUGUCUGUCUGAGGAAAAUAGAAAGACACAGCAGCACGCUGGCUUGAGAAUCCUUUGGAGAACCCAACGGACUGAUCCUUUCUUGGGUCGGAUGGCAACAACCUCUGUAAAUACCAAGAAGGUGAAAACCUUUGGUUACAAACACUGAGCAGUUAAUGGGCUCUACUACACCAAGCUGUUAAGACCUGACCAGUUAAUGGGCUCUACUACACCAAGCUGUUAAGACCUGACCAGUUAAUGGGCUCUACUACACCAAGCUGUUAAGACCUGACCAGUUAAUGGGCUCUACUACACCAAGCUGUUAAGACCACAUACUGACCAGUUAAUGGGCUCUACUACACCAAGCUGUUAAGACCUGACCAGUUAAUGGGCUCUACUACACCAAGCUGUUAAGACCAAAUACUGACCAGUUAAUGGGCUCUACUACACCAAGCGUUUAAGACCUGACCAGUUAAUGGGCUCUACUACACCAAGCUUUUAAGACCUGACCAGUUAAUGGGCUCUACUACACCAAGCUUUUAAGACCUGACCAGUUAAUGGGCUCUACUACACCAAGCUGUUAAGACCAAACACUGAGCAGUUAAUGGGCUCUACUACACCAAGCUUUUAAGACCACAUACUGAGCAGUUAAUGGGCUCUACUACACCAAGCUUUUAAGACUACAUACUGAGCAGUUAAUGGGCUCUACUACACCAAGCUUUUAAGACCAAACACUGAGCAGUUAAUGGGCUCUACUACACCAAGCUGUUAAGACCAAACACUGAGCAGUUAAUGGGCUCUACUACACCAAGCUGUUAAGACCAAAUACUGACCAGUUAAUGGGCUCUACUACACCAAGCUGUUAAGACCUGACCAGUUAAUGGGCUCUACUACACCAAGCUGUUAAGACCUGACCAGUUAAUGGGCUCUACUACACCAAGCUGUUAAGACCUGACCAGUUAAUGGGCUCUACUACACCAAGCUGUUAAGACCUGACCAGUUAAUGGGCUCUACUACACCAAGCUGUUAAGACCUGACCAGUUAAUGGGCUCUACUACACCAAGCUGUUAAGACCUGACCAGUUAAUGGGCUCUACUACACCAAGCUUUUAAGACCUGACCAGUUAAUGGGCUCUACUACACCAAGCUGUUAAGACCAAACACUGAGCAGUUAAUGGGCUCUACUACACCAAGCUUUUAAGACUACAUACUGAGCAGUUAAUGGGCUCUACUACACCAAGCUUUUAAGACCAAACACUGAGCAGUUAAUGGGCUCUACUACACCAAGCUUUUAAGACCAAACACUGAGCAGUUAAUGGGCUCUACUACACCAAGCUUUUAAGACUAAAUACUGAGCAGUUAAUGGGCUCUACUACACCAAGCUUUUAAGACCAAACACUGAGCAGUUAAUGGGCUCUACUACACCAAGCUGUUAAGACCUGACCAGUUAAUGGGCUCUACUACACCAAGCUUUUAAGACCUGACCAGUUAAUGGGCUCUACUACACCAAGCUGUUAAGACCAAAUACUGACCAGUUAAUGGGCUCUACUACACCAAGCUGUUAAGACCAAAUACUGACCAGUUAAUGGGCUCUACUACACCAAGCUUUUAAGACCUGACCAGUUAAUGGGCUCUACUACACCAAGCUGUUAAGACCUGACCAGUUAAUGGGCUCUACUACACCAAGCUGUUAAGACCUGACCAGUUAAUGGGCUCUACUACACCAAGCUGUUAAGACCAAACACUGAGCAGUUAAUGGGCUCUACUACACCAAGCUUUUAAGACCAAAUACUGACCAGUUAAUGGGCUCUACUACACCAAGCUUUUAAGACCAAACACUGAGUGUCACGCCUUGGUCAUUGUAUUUUGUUAAUAGUUUGGGUAGGCCAGGGUGUGACAUGGGUAUAUAUGUUGUGUUUCGUAUUGGGGUUUGUAUUAUUUGGGACUGUCCCGAGCUGCCCCUCUGUCCCGAGCUGUCCCUCAGUUAUGUGGGGAUCAGGGUGAGGAAUAUUAGGCCAUGGUCGGCGGAGAAAGUGGAUUAUCCCAGGACGCGAAGGAGAGGAACAAGGACAUUAAUGGAGUGGGGUCCACGUCCCGAGCCGGAACCGCCACCAUGGACAGACGCCCACCCGGACCCUCCCUAUGCUUUUGAGGUGCGUCCGGGAGUCCGCACCUUAGGGGGGGGGGUUCUGUCACGCCUUGGUCAUUGUAUUUUGUGUUUUGUUAAUAGUUUGGGUAGGCCAGGGUGUGACAUGGGUAUAUAUGUUGUGUUUCGUAUUGGGGUUUGUAUUAUUUGGGAUUGCGGCUGAUUAGGGGUGUGGUAUAGGUUUGGCUGCCUGAGGCGGUUCUCAAUGAGAGUCAGGUGCUUCUCUUUGUCUCUGAUUGGGAACCGUAUUUAGGUAGCUUGAGUUCGCGUUGUAUUUCGUGGGUGAUUGUCCUGUCUCUGUGUUGUAGUCACCAGAUAGGCUCAGUCACUUGGUUUUUUCUUUUCAAUUGUUUUGGAAGAGAAGAGAACGAGCGCCAUUCUCCUUGCGGAGAUGGUGCUAAAUACAUCAACACGGUCGGUCCCUGGGAUUGGGCUGGCCAACACGAUUCGGUUUGCUUGGAAGGAAAAGGAGUUUGAGCCUUUAGGACGGGAAUCCUUUGGAAGGAUAAUAUUGAUGGGGAUUCUAAAGCUGACGGUGAAGGACGUGUUUUGUUUCCAAGGCAACUCGUUGGAGGGAGCAUA